rnacentral:rRNA from 1 species
CAGUCGCCACGGGAAUACGAGGGGGGCAAGCGUUGUUCGGAAUUAUUGGGCGUAAAGGGUGCGUAGGCGGUUUGAUAAGUCAUCUGUGAAAUCUCUGGGCUCAACCCAGAGUCUGCAGGCGAAACUGUCGGGCUUGAGUAUGGGAGAGGUGAGUGGAAUUUCCGGUGUAGCGGUGAAAUGCGUAGAUAUCGGAAGGAACACCUGUGGCGAAAGCGGCUCACUGGACCAUAACUGACGCUGAUGCACGAAAGCUAGGGGAGCAAACAGGAUUAGAUACCCCCGUAGUCCCUGUCUCUUAUAC